UAUUGUCGCCGCUUUGUCGAGAACUUCUCCAAGAUCGCCAAGCCACUGACUAAUCUGCUUCACAAAGGCGUUAAGUUUGAUUGGACAGACAAAUGUCAGGAAAGUUUCCAGGCACUCAAGGAUAAACUGACUUCUGCCCCAGUGCUUGCUCCCCCUGAUUCUCGCAAGGACUUUGUCAUCUAUUGUGACGCUUCACGUCAAGGAUUAGGCUGUGUUCUAAUGCAAGAGCGCAGGGUGAUUGCCUAUGCCUCCCAUCAAGUGCGUCCUCACGAAGAAAACUACCCGGUUCAUGACCUUGAGCUUGCAGCGGUUAUCUUUGCAUUGAAGCUAUGGCGACAAUACCUUCUCGGUAAUCGUUGUGAGAUCUUCACUGAUCAUCAGAGUCUGAAGUACCUAUUUACUCAGCCAGAUCUGAACCUCCGUCAGCAGCGAUGGAUGGAAGCUAUUGCUGACUACAACUGCGGUAUAUCUUAUACACCUGGCAAGGCUAAUGUAAUGGCUGAUGCCCUAAGCCGAAAGUCUUAUUGCAAUAAUCACCAGGUCUACAAAGCUCAACCCCGCCUUUAUGAAGAGCUAUGCAAGCUGAACCUUCAACUAGUUCCACAGGGUUCUCUGAAUAACCUUGUUUUGGAACCAACUCUUCUGAAAGCAAUCAAGUCUGCUCAAGCCAAAGAUGCUCAUGUUGAUCUGAUGAAAAAG
rnacentral:rRNA from 1 species